rnacentral:ncRNA from 1 species
AAUAGACUUAGUCCUAACCUUACCGUUAAUUUUUGCUAGGCAUAUACAUGCAAGUAUCCGCAUCCCAGUGUAAAUGCCCUUCGCUUCUUGCCAAGACAGAAGGAGCAGGUAUCAGGCACACCCACAGUAGUAGCCCAAGACGCCUUGCUUGGCCACACCCCCACGGGUACUCAGCAGUAAUUAACCUUAAGCAAUGAGUGUAAACUUGACUUAGCCAUAGCAACUCAGGGUCGGUAAAUCUUGUGCCAGCCACCGCGGUCAUACAAGAGGCCCAAAUUAACAGCAAAUAUACGGCGUAAAGAGUGGUACACAUGUUAUCUCGGCAGCUAUGACCGAAAUGCAACUGAGCUGUCAUAAGCCCAAGAUGCACUUAAGGUCACCCCUCAAAAUGGUCCUAGCACCCAUGAUUAAUUAAACCCCACGAAAGCUAAGACACAAACUGGGAUUAGAUACCCCACUAUGCUUAGCCCUAAAUCUUGACACUUACCUCACCGAAGUGUCCGCCUGAGAACUACGAGCACAAACGCUUAAAACUCUAAGGACUUGGCGGUGCUCCAAACCCACCUAGAGGAGCCUGUUCUAUAAUCGAUGAUCCACGAUACACCCGGCCUCCCCUUGCCAUGGACAGCCUACAUACCGCCGUCGCCAGCCCACCUCUACUGAAAGAACAGUAGUGAGCAUAAUAGCCCUAAUCCCGCUAACAAGACAGGUCAAGGUAUAGCCCAUGGGGAGGAAAGAAAUGGGCUACAUUUUCUAGAAUAGAAAACCAACGAAAAGGGUCUAUGAAACUACCCCUAGAAGGCGGAUUUAGCAGUAAAGCAGGGCAAUAAUACCUUCUUUAAGUUGGCUCUAGAGCACGUACAUACCGCCCGUCACCCUCCUCAUAAACAACUACCCCAAAUAACUAAUACACCCCACCAGUCAAAGACGAGGUAAGUCGUAACAAGGUAAGUGUACCGGAAGGUGCACUUAGCACAAC